AAACCAGCACCUCAAGUGGUCAGGAUGAUUAUUGGGCCUAAAGCAUCCGUAGCCGGCUCUGGAAGUUUUCGGUUAAAUCUGUACGCUUAACGUACAGGCUGCCGGGAAUACUGCAGAGCUAGGGAGUGGGAGAGGUAGACGGUACUCGGGAGGAAGUGGUAAAAUGCUUUGAUCUCUCGAUGACCACCUGUGGCGAAGGCGGUCUACCAGAACACGUCCGACGGUGAGGGAUGAAAGCUGGGGGAGCAAACCGGAUUAGAAACCCUAGUAGUCC
rnacentral:rRNA from 1 species